UGCCGGUUAGCUCAGUUGGUUAGAGCGUCGUGCUCAUAACGCGAAUGUCGUUGGGUUCAAUCCCCAUACUGGCCA